rnacentral:rRNA from 1 species
GUCUAUAGCCGUACCACCCUGAACGUGCCUGAUCUCGUCUGAUCUCAGAAGCUAAGCAGGGUCGGACCUGGUUAGUACUUGGAUGGGAGACCACCUAGGAAGACCAGGUGCUGUAGGCA